rnacentral:rRNA from 1 species
GAGUUUAAUGGUCGAACAGACCAAGAAAAUUGAAAUUUUACGCCCAAAUCUUAUCUUAAUUCAACAUCGAGGUCGCAAACUUUUUCAUCGAUAUGAACUCUCCGAAAAAAUUACGCUGUUAUCCCUAAGGUAAGUUAAUCUUAUAAUCAAAAAUUGGGGAUCAAAAAAACAUAUAUUAAUGAAUAAAAAUAUUAAAAGUUAAAUAAAUUUUAAUGUCACCCCAACAAAACUUUAUAUUCUAAAAAAUUAUUUUAUAAACAAAAAACAAAAAUUAAUAAAUAAAGUUAACUUCUAUAGGGUCUUCUCGUCCUAUAAAAAAAUUUUAGCUUUUUAACUAAAAAAUUAAAUUCAAAAUAAUUGAGAAAAGAAAGUUUAUUUUUCAUCAAAACCAUUCAUACUAGCCUUCAAUUAAAAGACAAAUGAUUAUGCUACCUUCGGACAGGUAAAAUACCGCAGCCUUUUAAUUCAAAAAAAUCAAUGGGCAG